rnacentral:sRNA from 1 species
GCUGGGUGCAAUGGUGCACACCUGUCAUCCCAGGGACUUGGGAGGCUGAGGCAGGAGGAUCACUAGUUCAAAGCCAGCUUCAGCAAAAGGGAGGUAUUAAGCAAUUCAGUGAGACCCUGUCUCUA